UACGUAGGGGGCAAGCGUUGUCCGGAAUCAUUGGGCGUAAAGAGCGCGUAGGCGGCCUGUUGCGUCCGCUGUGAAAGCCCGGGGCUUAACCCCGGGUCGGCAGUGGAUACGGGCAGGCUAGAGGUAGGUAGGGGAGAAUGGAAUUCCCGGUGUAGCGGUGAAAUGCGCAGAUAUCGGGAGGAACACCGGUGGCGAAGGCGGUUCUCUGGGCCUUACCUGACGCUGAGGAGCGAAAGCGUGGGGAGCGAACAGG
rnacentral:rRNA from 1 species